UGGUCGCCGAGAAGAGGAGAGAGGGAGAAAAGGAACGCGAGCCAGUAGCCAGGGGGAGGAGCCUCGUGCGUCACCGUCAUCGUUGCUCGCCGUCACCCUCACCGCGUAUCGCCGCCGUUGAGUUGCUGCGCGCAGCAAGAAGUAGUCGCCGUCGCCGUCUUGGAGCCAUCAACGUCACUGAGCCACACGACAUCACCGCCGCGAACCGCGAACAGAGGAGAGGGACAGAGAUGUGUUCGCGAGGGAGCUGCCGCCGU
rnacentral:lncRNA from 1 species